rnacentral:tmRNA from 1 species
GAGUAAACAUAUCCUUGUAAAUUGUCUCUGGCGCCCCCAUAAUCGACGCAUGGUUGUAACUCCGGCAAUCUGGAGGCGUUCUGGACAGGGGUUCGAUUCCCCUCACCUCCACCUAAGGGCAGCGGAGUGUCUUUAGGUGGGGGUGCCAUGGCUUCGACAGGGCGGACAAAGGUGCGCAGGCAACCCGUCAGGCGAUCGACGUUAAUGAAGCAAAUCCAUAAACGCCAACGAUGAGCGUUUCGCACUGGCCGCCUAAGGUCAGCGCCGGGGCUGCUGGAGCCUUGUAACCAAAGAUAGCCGGUGGGGACUUCGGUCCCCAUCGUUA